GAUGGGAGCUUGCUCCCUGAUGUUAGCGGCGGACGGGUGAGUAACACGUGGGUAACCUGCCUGUAAGACUGGGAUAACUCCGGGAAACCGGGGCUAAUACCGGAUGGUUGUUUGAACCGCAUGGUUCAAACAUAAAAGGUGGCUUCGGCUACCACUUACAGAUGGACCCGCGGCGCAUUAGCUAGUUGGUGAGGUAACGGCUCACCAAGGCAACGAUGCGUAGCCGACCUGAGAGGGUGAUCGGCCACACUGGGACUGAGACACGGCCCAGACUCCUACGGGAGGCAGCAGUAGGGAAUCUUCCGCAAUGGACGAAAGUCUGACGGAGCAACGCCGCGUGAGUGAUGAAGGUUUUCGGAUCGUAAAGCUCUGUUGUUAGGGAAGAACAAGUACCGUUCGAAUAGGGCGGUACCUUGACGGUACCUAACCAGAAAGCCACGGCUAACUACGUGCCAGCAGCCGCGGUAAUACGUAGGUGGCAAGCGUUGUCCGGAAUUAUUGGGCGUAAAGGGCUCGCAGGCGGUUUCUUAAGUCUGAUGUGAAAGCCCCCGGCUCAACCGGGGAGGGUCAUUGGAAACUGGGGAACUUGAGUGCAGAAGAGGAGAGUGGAAUUCCACGUGUAGCGGUGAAAUGCGUAGAGAUGUGGAGGAACACCAGUGGCGAAGGCGACUCUCUGGUCUGUAACUGACGCUGAGGAGCGAAAGCGUGGGGAGCGAACAGGAUUAGAUACCCUGGUAGUCCACGCCGUAAACGAUGAGUGCUAAGUGUUAGGGGGUUUCCGCCCCUUAGUGCUGCAGCUAACGCAUUAAGCACUCCGCCUGGGGAGUACGGUCGCAAGACUGAAACUCAAAGGAAUUGAC
rnacentral:rRNA from 1 species